AAUAUACUCCAUCGGUCCGGAAAUACUUGUCUUUGAAAUGGAUAAAAUGAAUGUAUCUAUAACUAAAAUAAGUCUAGAUACAAUCAUUUUUAGGACAAAUAUUUCCGGACGGAGAGAUACAUA
rfam:Triticum urartu cultivar G1812 contig224718, whole genome shotgun sequence.